CCGGCGCACGGGUGCGUAACACGUAUACAAUCUGCCUUUAACUGGGGCAUAACCUUUCGAAAGAGAGACUAAUACCCCAUAAUAGUAGAGAAGGCAUCUUCUUUAUUUGAAAGCUCCGGCGGUUAAAGAUGAGUAUGCGGAUGAUUAGCUAGAUGGUGAGGUAACGGCUCACCAUGGCGACGAUCAAUAGGGGAUCUGAGAGGACUACCCCCCACACUGGUACUGAGACACGGACCAGACUCCUACGGGAGGCAGCAGUAAGGAAUAUUGGACAAUGCUCGCAAGAGUGAUCCAGCCAUGCCGCGUGCAGGAAGACGGCCCUAUGGGUUGUAAACUGCUUUUGAACUAGAGAAAACCCCCCUUCGUGAAGGGGGCUGAUAGUAUAGUUAGAAUAAGCAUCGGCUAACUUCGUGCCAGCAGCCGCGGUAAGACGAAGGAUGCAAGCGUUAUCCGGAUUCAUUGGGUUUAAAGGGAGCGUAGGUGGAUUUGUAAGUCAGUGGUGAAAGCCGGCAGCUUAACUGUCGAACUGCCAUUGAUACUGCGGAUCUUGAGUAUGGUUGCUGUGGGCGGAAUAUGACAUGUAGAGGUGGAAUUCAUAGAGAUGUCAUAGAACACCGAUUGCGAAGGCAGCUCACAAAGCCAUUACUGACACUGAGGCUCGAAAGUGCGGGGAUCAAACAGGAUUAGAUACCCUGGUAGUCCGCACUGUAAACGAUGAUUACUCGCUGCUAGGAGGUAACUUUUAGUGGCUAAGCGAAAGCGAUAAGUAAUCCACCUGGGGAGUACGCCGGCAACG
rnacentral:rRNA from 1 species